rnacentral:rRNA from 1 species
UGCCAGCAGCCGCGGUAAGACGAGGGGUGCAAGCGUUAUUCGGAUUUACUGGGCGUAAAGGGCGUGUAGGCGGGACUUCAAGUCAGUUGUUAAAGACCAUUACUUAAUGAUGGAAAGGCAAUUGAAACUGGAGACCUAGAGUUUAGCAGAGGGAAGUGGAAUUCUCGGAGUAGCGGUAAAAUGCGUAGAUCUCGAGAGGAACACCAAUGGCGAAGGCAGCUUCCUGGGCUAAAACUGACGCUGAGGCGCGAAAGCGUGGGGAGCGAACGGGAUUAGAUA